rnacentral:piRNA from 1 species
GAGAGUCAAAGGAACCAUGACC